UACGAAGGGUGCUAGCGUUGUUCGGAAUCACUGGGCGUAAAGCGCGCGUAGGCGGCGCAACAAGUCAGAGGUGAAAUCCCAAGGCUCAACCUUGGAAUUGCCUUUGAAACUGUUGCGCUAGAGUGUCGGAGGGGAUAGCGGAAUUGCUAAUGUAGAGGUGAAAUUCGUAGAUAUUAGCAGGAACACCGGUGGCGAAGGCGGCUAUCUGGACGACAACUGACGCUGAGGCGCGAAAGCGUGGGGAUCAAACAGG
rnacentral:rRNA from 1 species